UAGGGAAUCUUCCGCAAUGGACGCAAGUCUGACGGAGCAACGCCGCGUGAGUGAAGAAGGAUUUCGGUUCGUAAAACUCUGUUGUUAGAGAAGAACAGCGCAUAGAGUAACUGUUAUGCGUGUGACGGUAUCUAACCAGAAAGCCACGGCUAACUACGUGCCAGCAGCCGCGGUAAUACGUAGGUGGCAAGCGUUGUCCGGAUUUAUUGGGCGUAAAGCGAGCGCAGGCGGUCAAUUAAGUCUGAUGUGAAAGCCCCCUGCUCAACCGGGGAGGGUCAUUGGAAUCUGGUUGACUUGAGUGCAGAGGUGGUGAGUGGAAUUCCAUGUGUCGCGGUGAAAUGCGUAGUUAUAUGGAGGAACACCAGUGGCGAAUGCGACUCUCUGGUCUGUAACUGACGCUGCGGCUAGCAAGCGUGGGUAGCAAACAGG
rnacentral:rRNA from 1 species